GCAUAAAAGGCAAUGGCGCGUGGGUUCAAUGGAGACGGAAUUGAAUGUUGUUUGUGAUUAAUCCAUAGCAUUUUGGAGAACUUUGUAAGCAAAUGCGGCAAAGGAUCACUAUACCUGGAAUUAACUUUUGUUGUUAUGAAGGAAACAUGUUGAUCCGGACUCUGGAGAAGGUGUGGCCUUUAAAGUUGACGUCCAUCAAAGUGUGUUGCCUCUGAAAUGGAACGAAGCUACUGAAAAAAGCUGUCUGCACUGACUUUCUGUGGAUUGAAAAAACAACAACUAGAACACAAGCUCAAGAGGUUCAUAGAAAUAUGGAUGAGCCUCUGUGUUCCCAAUGGCUGCUUGUGGCAGUGGAGCGAUGCCUGAUGUGUGCUGGAAGUAAAUAAUGAGGAGACAGAUCCAUUAACCGUGGUGAGGAGCCAGCAACUUUCAGAGGGAGCAAUUUAAACGCAGUUCCGUGCCUUUCUAAUCUCUGCCCUUGAACACUAUCAAGAAAUUGAAGGUGAUGGACAUUUUGUAGACUAUCUUAAGCAGAGAAGAAAACUGGAACAGACACCAUGCUUAACAGGUGUGAUUUAUCACAAAGUGACAGAAGGCAAUGUUUGUCGACUAAGCUUUUUUUAAGAAUGAUCUACACCACUCCCAUUCUUAGACAUCAUUCAUUAUUCUAAAUGAAAGAAUGUGAAAGGUCACACAGAGAGUUAUACAUCAAUAGGAGACUUAAAAAAAUAAAAAUGAAGCCAAGUUGAAGUGGGCAGGGUUAACAAUGUCAUUUUCUGUCUGGAUUAAUUACAUUAACGGUAUCCAUAGAAACAUCCAUCAUUUGUGAGGAUGAAUCGAUUGCAGAGAAAUCAAAACAUUCUUUAUGGAGCCAUGAUGAGUCUAGUAUGAAUGGUCAAUGUUGAAUUCAUUUUCAUGUUUUUAAGUGUCUUCUCACAGGAAGAAAAAAAAAACAGCCAUUAAUGCCAUCACAUGCAUUCAAUGCUGAAUUGCAGCAUAGAAAUAAGUGGAAUGGAUUGUUUAAAAUGGUUCCCUUCAUAUGAGCAUUUCAAGACUAUUUUUAGAAGUUUGCCACUUGAGCAAACAACGAUAAUAAUAAUAAUAAAGACUUGAUUCAAC
ensembl:processed_transcript